GACGAACGCUGGCGGCGUGCUUAACACAUGCAAGUCGAACGGAAAGGCCCUGCUUUUGUGGGGUGCUCGAGUGGCGAACGGGUGAGUAACACGUGAGUAACCUGCCCUUGACUUUGGGAUAACUUCAGGAAACUGGGGCUAAUACCGCAUAGGAGCUCCUGCUGCAUGGUGGGUGUUGGAAAGUUUCGGCGGUUGGGGAUGGACUCGCGGCUUAUCAGCUUGUUGGUGGGGUAGUGGCUUACCAAGGCUUUGACGGGUAGCCGGCCUGAGAGGGUGACCGGCCCCAUUGGGACUGAGAUACGGCCCAGACGCCUACGGGAGGCAGGAGUGGAGAAUAUUGCACGAUGGGCGGAAGCCUGAUGCAGCAACGCCGGGUGCGGGAUGACGGCCUUCGGGUUGUAAACCGCUUUCGCCUGUGACGAAGCGUGAGUGACGGUAAUGGGUAAAGAAGCACCGGCUAACUACGUG
rnacentral:rRNA from 1 species